rnacentral:rRNA from 1 species
UACGUAGGGUGCGAGCGUUAAUCGGAAUUACUGGGCGUAAAGCGUGCGCAGGCGGCUUCGCAAGUCAGACGUGAAAUCCCCGGGCUUAACCUGGGAAUGGCGUUUGAAACUACGGAGCUGGAGUGUGGCAGAGGGAGGUAGAAUUCCACGUGUAGCGGUGAAAUGCGUAGAUAUGACAUAGAACACCAAUUGCGAAGGCAGCUGGCUACGCAUAUAUUGACACUGAGGCACGAAAGCGUGGGGAUCAAACAGG